UUAACUCCGGAUCUGCGGUGGGUACGGGCAGACUAGAGUGCAGUAGGGGAGACUGGAAUUCCUGGUGUAGCGGUGAAAUGCGCAGAUAUCAGGAGGAACACCGAUGGCGAAGGCAGGUCUCUGGGCUGUAACUGACGCUGAGGAGCGAAAGCAUGGGGAGCGAACAGGAUUAGAUACCCUGGUAGUCCAUGCCGUAAACGUUGGGCACUAGGUGUGGGGGACAUUCCACGUUUUCCGCGCCGUAGCUAACGCAUUAAGUGCCCCGCCUGGGGAGUACGGCCGCAAGGCUAAAACUCAAAGGAAUUGACGGGGGCCCGCACAAGCGGCGGAGCAUGCGGAUUAAUUCGAUGCAACGCGAAGAACCUUACCAAGGCUUGACAUGUUCCUGACCGCCGUAGAGAUACGGUUUCCCCUUUGGGGCAGGUUCACAGGUGGUGCAUGGUUGUCGUCAGCUCGUGUCGUGAGAUGUUGGGUUAAGUCCCGCAACGAGCGCAACCCUCGUUCCAUGUUGCCAGCACGUAGUGGUGGGGACUCAUGGGAGACUGCCGGGGUCAACUCGGAGGAAGGUGGGGACGACGUCAAAUCAUCAUGCCCCUUAUGUCUUGGGCUUCACGCAUGCUACAAUGGCCGGUACAAUGGGUUGCGAUACUGUGAGGUGGAGCUAAUC
rnacentral:rRNA from 1 species